rnacentral:lncRNA from 7 species
GACCUCCCCCAGUCAGAUAGUCUGUGGUGUGAGGCUUCUUGUUAACACAUCACUGGGUUACUGGGGAUCUCACUGGUGCUUUGUGCUGGGGGAAAGGAAACCUGGAUGGUGAGAGCACCUAUGCAGCCGCUUGCCUUUGAAGAAAGGAUGAAAUGUGGCCAUUUUCUGGCCUACCCUCCCUGCCAGCCUGGAGUGGCCCCCAUCACUGUCUCCUGGAGUGGCUCUUGGAGCUGCUGAUUUUUUGCUGUGAGCACUGCUUUUGAAGCCCUGGGAAUAUGGAGGUGUGGCCCUGAGCAGAGGAGCUGGACAGGAACACUUCUCUCACAUUGUCCUCAGUGAGGGAAUGACAUCUAAUUGCUGCUGCUGUUCCCAGGCAUGAGCCUGCCCCAGCAGCACCAGUACUGACGGUGGGCAGGCAGUGUUCCUCCUGGUGCACAGCGACCAUCCCCUCCUUUGGUCUUCGGUUAAGGCAAUGAUGGCUAUUGGCCUCCUGACUGACUCCUGCUUGCAGCCUACAAGGCCUGAGCACAACAAUUACCCAAACAAAAGACAACGAUUACUGCUUUUCACGAGGGACUUUUCUUCCUUCCCCUCUUCCUGGAGCACUCUAUUCAAGGUGAGGUUUCAUCACCCCACCGAGUUCCCCGAGCUGGGAGCAAAACUGCAGCCAGUCUGCUCCAGCUGACAGCCCUGGAUGCACUCUGCAGAGGAAUUUGUUCCUAAGCCCAGUGUGCAGAGCAUUAAUAACAUUUGCAACCCUCCUUGCUCUUCAAAUGUGCCAGAGGUUUGGCUGAACACAAACCUGGCUCUGUUAUUGUGCAGAAUUCCUGGAGCAGAAGAGCAGAGGUUGUAAACCAGAGCUCUUGGACCCAGGGAACUGCUGGACUUAGCGAGGUAGCAAAUAAAUGAACCCUCCGUGAGCCCUGGUUCUUCUCUGUAAAGCACUGCAAGGAUGGGCCUCAGGGCAGCUGGGAAGGCUCUUUCUCCCCUUUUUGCCCUCUUCUCACCACUGGCUAGGCUGGCUCGUCCCCUGGUGCUUCUGGCCAGCUGCAAGCAGGAGUCACGUGCACUUCUCAGCCAGGUUUCCAGCCAGCAGUGUUGGCUUGGGGCACCGGGCAAGUUUGGAGAAGUAUUCAGACCUCUGAGCACUUUACCCACAGCUGAACUUUAGCAGAGCUGGUGACAGGAGGGGCCUCCAUAACUCAUCCCUCUUCAGGAGCAAGAUCAGGGCAAUGAUAACGGCUUUGUUUUAAAGGAAGAAGAGGAAGGAAAAUGGAAGUGAUGUCUACAACAAAAGGAGUGGCCUCACCCAAUAUCCCAAGGACCUUGGCUGCCAAACCUGCAUGGAUAUAAAUGGCUCAAACAAUGCACGGCCCUAUCUGGGGGCUGCAGGAACCCCUCUUUCCUCACAGGAUCAGAUAUGGUAUUGGCACGGAUGGGUACUCCGGCCAUUGUCCCACAGCCACCGGCCGGCAGUGCCGCCCCAACUCAAUGCUGGUGGCCUGGAGUGGCAGAAUCACAGGAAAUCAGACCAGGUCAUAUCCCAUAUUAGCUGCAUCACACCUCGAGGCAUUAUUUUUUCCCCACUGUUCUUGGUGGCUCUUUCUGGACACGAGAAGCAGUGUGACACACAAAGAGCUGGCUUCCCAAAAUAACUCCGCAUACAGUUGCUGCUGGGCUGAUUCAUGGGUUACCCACGGCUGCAUCCUCCCUCUGACCAAGGCCAAAAGCAGCUGGCUGAAAAGCAUCCGGUGGGGCUGGAACUGCUCCUGGAGCUUGGAGGGCAGCAUCCCACAGUACUGGCU